UUUAUUCAUGAGAGACACAGAGAGAGAGGCAGAGACAUAGGCAGAGGGAGAAAUAGGCUCCCUAUGGGUAGCCUGAUACAGGACUCGUUCCCAAGACCCUGGGAUCAAGACCUGAGCCAACAGACACUCAACCACUGAGCCACCCAGGCACCCCUGAACCACUCCUUUUAAAAAUGCAUCUUUGGAAAUCAUAAAAGAAUGGAGUCUUAGAGUAUCAACAUAGCUAGAAAAUAGCUUUAACCGUCUAAUAUCAAUGAAAACCCAUAAAAUUAAAUGUGAAUAUAGUACCACAAAUCACUAUGUUUAUGAGAUUUAGUACCAUAAAAAAUGUCCCAAAAAGUUGAAAACAGAAAUAUUUACCCUGGAAAAAAGAGAGAUGAUUCAAGAUAAAAGAACUUAAGAGCCCUCUAAUUAAUAUAUCCAGAGGGAUAUGAGGAGAUAUUUUAUCCAUAACGUGAGGACUGAUAUGAUGGAGAAAAAAAAGCAGAGUACAGGAAAUUAUUCUUAGAGUUUAAAGAUAUGAUAAAAACAUUUAAAAAUUCGAUAGGAGGUCUAAAAUACAAACACGAUAGAAUCUCUCAGAAUAUAUAAUAAUAGCAAUAAAAAUAGAUAGACACAAAAUUAAAGGGAAGGGAAGAGACAAUGAAGCUCAAACCAAGAGAUCCAACAUGCUACCAAUAGAAUUCCUUGAAAGAAUAUUAAACAUAGAAGGAAAAUCAUUAAACAAAGAGAAUGUCUUUGUAGUUGAAGAAAGAUAUGUUAUCAGACUAAUAAGACCACUGAAUAUCCUACAGAUGGAUAAAAAAAAAUAAUGGGGAAAAAAGCUAAUUGCAUCCUUGAGAAUUUCAAAACCCAGAUACUAUUGUUUCCAGAGAGAAGGAAGAAAGUGGCAUAUAAAGUAAUGAAAAUGACACUGGUAUCAGCCUAAAUAGUAGUACUAGAUGUUAGAAAACAACAGAGGCAAUGCCUUUAAUAUUUUUAGAGUAAACAAUUUUUACCUAGUGUAUGAAACGUGGCUAAAAUAUCAACAAAGCACAAUGAGAAAAGAUAUUGUAAACACAAAAGUAUCCAGAAAAAUUAUGCUCCACACUCUACUUUUUGUUUUGGGGUGUUUGUUUUAAAGAUUUUAUUUAUUUAUUCUUGAGAAACACAGCGAGUAGGGCAGAGACAUAGGCAGAGGGAGAAGCAGGCUCCGUCCAGGGAAACUGACGCAGGCCUCGAUCCCAGGACCCCGGGAGCCAAAGGCGGAUGCGCAACCACUGAACCACCCAGGUGCUCCCCAUAUUCUACUUUAUGAAAGAUCACUUUAGGAUAUACUCUAUUAACUAUAUCAAAACAAGAAGAGUAAAUAAAAUAUGGAAUCUGGGAAAGGGUGAAUCUAAUCCAUUGGAGUAGUAGUGCAGGAAGUCUUGAGCCAGGUAGCAAUUGUGAGAAAAAGACUAGUCCAGAUGGAUACAGGGGUAUAAAAGAUUCCAUUCCAUUAAGUCCAGGGAAAAGCAAGGUAGGCAUGAAGAUAGCAGGAAUUCACUUGACAGAGUAGAAAAUAUGACUCAGGUCUUGAGAGAAAGAGGAAUUUUAAAAAAUAUACGAUGUAAGAAAAAAAGAAAAGUGAUUAGAAGCUUAAAAAAGAAACCCACAAUCACUGUGUAAGAAUAUAAUGGACCAAAUAUGAGGCAACUCAAAAUAUUGAUAGAUUUUAGGUAAAUGACAAAGUGCAAGAAAAAUAAUUAAUUUUAUUAUAUAUCUAGGAGCAUUCUCCUUUAAGUGGCACAAAGUUUUGACACUGGAUGCACAGAAAAGGAAAUUCAUUUUUGGUCCAUCACUGGAAAAUAUUUACUUAGUCAUUAUAAUAUAAAUGCUGUUGAUUGUGAUCUUCAGCUUUUAGAUUUAAACUAUGCACAAAGCCACAAAGACUUGAGUGUGCCUGCAGGAGACAAAUACUAAGAAUUUUGAUCAUACUAACAUAAAAACAGAGCUGUCAGAUGAUGAGCCUCAGAAAGCAGAAGGAAAAUAAUAUUAAGAGAUAGUAUCAAAAGCUGAUAGAAUAAAAUAAGGAUGUAAAAUUAUUAGAUUGUAAUGGCAAUCAAUAGACAAGGUAAAGCAGUAAUAUAAAUAUACAUUGUUAUUAGUCAAGGGAGAGAGAAGCAACCAAACAUGUGAACUGAAAACUUAUUUUCAUACUGGAGAGUCGAUAGAUACUAUUUAAAUUGAUAAAUUAAGCUAAUAAGAUAUAUUAUCUAGAGUUACAGACAAAGCCGCCAUAAUAAUUAAAAACUGAAACAAUGAGGAGUCAGCCUCUGAGUCCAGAGCUGGGAAUAAGAUGCUUUUUAUCAUAACCUUUUUCUACCUUUUUAAUCAUCAUAUACAUAAUUGAAAAAAACAGGGGCACCUGGGUAGCUCAGUUGGUUAAGGGUCUGCCUUCAGCUUGGGUCAUGAUCCCAGAGUCCUGAGAUUAAGCCCAGUGUUCAGCUCCUUGCUUAAAGGAGAGCCUCCUCUCCUUCUGCCCUCCCCCUACUCCUUCUCUCUCUUGCUUACUCUCUCAAAUAAAAGUCUUAAAAAAAAAAAAAGACAACAUCUCAGCAAUGCAGCAAUUCCUAAAGUCUAUAGCUUAAAUAUAAGACCUACAAUGCUGGGAGUAGGUGAGAAGAGGGUAGAUUCUAUUCUUAAAACACACUUGCAAAAUACUGCCAGUUUGGUGAUUCAAAAUGCAGAAUAUUAUACACAGCUCACAGAGGACUGUAUAAAAGUGGUCUAAUGAUCCCCAAACAUUUUUGUUUAUUCUGUUAAAAAUACCUAUUUUCCAUCCAAGGAACCACUGUUCCUCAAAACUCACUUUCAAAAAAACCUACAAGGAGAGUAUAUAUGAAUGUCUGUCUUUUCUAGCAUUUUGAAGAUCAUCUGAGAACAAGAUAUAAAACAUACAUACACAUAUACAUCUCCUAGGAAUUCUUUCAACUAAUUCCCUUGCUUUAUGACAACCCUUAGUUCAAUGUCUUACACAUAGUAGGCACUUCAUUAUUUGUUAGAAGAAUGUACAAAUGACAGCAUAGCUCUGCCAGCUGCUGCAUAUUGUAAAAAUAAGAAAUGAGCUUUCUUCUAAGUGAACAGUAACUGCCAAAUUCUCCUUGCUGUAUGUUUGUUAAGCUGCAAUAAUAACUAGGAACUCCUGCCAGCACCAGAAUAUCAUAUAAAUCAAUGCUCAAAAGCAAUAUUAUUGUACACCAUCUUGCUUCUUGGCUUUUAUUUCAGGGCUCCUGAAGUCUGGUUACAAAUAGAUCAUUUAUAUUCACACAUUUAUUUUUUUAUAGUUUUCAUAAUGAAAACUAGAUUCCUACCAUUGCUAUAUAUGUACUCAGUUUUUAUAAGCAAGACCAUGUAGAAGAUGAGUUGCUCCAAGUUGUAAUGCAAAUUGCUUGGUGCACUAAAAAGGCAUUGCUUUCUCCCCAUGUACAUGUUUUAUUUGCAUUUUAAGACUCUAGUAAAACUCUAUUAACCAUCGUUCUCUUAUCUGAGUAAUUUUCUCAUCUUGAAGUUUUGGGAGGACAAAGUAGAAACACUUAUUUCUUUAGUAUUAUUAACAUUUAUAAUAACUUUUAUGGAAAACUAUCUAAUAAAUAAUAUUGUUGCAAGAAUAACAAAAAACAAAAAUAAAUAAAUAAAAUAAAAAUAAAAGGAAGGAAGGAUGGAAGGAAGCAGGGAACAUCCAGAAUCCCACUCCUCUAAUAAACCAACUGUUUUCACUUACAAUGGUUAAUUUUUUACUUCAAAUGCAUUCAUUGGUAAAGAACAACUGUGGAAUUAAUUUUAUGUGAGCAUAACAGCCAAUUUUAUUUUUUCUAUACUAAAACUAUAUUCUUGGGAAUUAGAGAGUUGAGCUCAGAUGGUUCCCAAGGUUCAUCUACUGUGAACUUCCUCCCUUCCAACUCUCAGGCUGCUCCCAGAGGCCUGGUCCCUAGGCAAUAUUGUGAAGACUGCAUUAGCCAACAACCUUGGAUACCUCAGCAGCAUCUUAACUUUUGAGGGCAGCCAAGUAGAAAAAAGGUUUAUUGAAAUGAAGAGAAAGGUGACUAUUUCAAGAGAGGACAUUUCUGUACUCCCAGAACUCAACAAAAUGCCAGGCUCAUGGAGGAUGCUCAAUAAUAUUGAAGUGUACAUGGUAAUUUUGUUUAAAGUAAGAACCAGUAUAAUGAAAGUAUUGGGAGGGAAAUGAAUUCUAAAGAAGUUGAAAUGGGGAAAGGUUUUGGGCUUUUCCCCAAUAGCGAUUACAGUAGGACACAGAAAUCACUCUCCAAGUAGAAAGUACUACAUAAGCUGCUACUGGUGAAAGAUGACCAUGGUACGCUCCUGAUAAACACUUACUGAGAGGACAGAAAUGUGAUGGGAAGGGACUGCUUUACCUACUUGCAUAUUCUCUUUCUCCUCUUUCAAGAACUGCAUGAUUAUGACUCACUAAGGUUUCAAUCUUUCAACUCACCCUUCAACCUUCUUUUAAUGAGUAUUCACUACUCCUUCUCAUACCACUGGGUCUUUUCAGGAAUCUCUAGUUAGUUUUCCUGCCUUUGCUUUCUCUCUUUUUGGUCCUACCUAGAAAGUCUAAUUUCUUCCUUCAUAUCCAUCCCCACCUACAUUAAUAACCCACAGGUGGAACUCUCCACUCGCAUCCAUCCCUCUCUUCUGUACUUGCUUUAUCUCCAGCUGUCUCCAUUAGCGGUUCCUCUCUGUGUCACUGCCAGCUUUGACUGAAGAUAUGAAAAAUGGUCACUUCUUAUUUGGUUUUUAUUCUUACUUUUUAUACCUCUUUCUCUUCUCUAUCACUGUCACUGACUAUAUUUCCUCCGUAAUAAACACGUAAUUUGCAUCACAUUUGAUCCUUAGCUCUCAUUUAUAUUACCAUAUUAUAGUUUUUAAUUCCAUGAUGAAUAUAAAUUGAAUUUAGUUAGCAUUACACAAAAUCUCUCCAUGAUCCUAGGUGAGCAUAUAUUAAGCAUCCUUCGUUUCAUGGAUAUCAUAGUAGACUGCAGAUUCUGUAAUAACUAAUAUACUGAGUUUACAUUUUUUUCUAGGCCUUCCAGAAGUUAUGCAAAGUACAUAUAAUCACACACACACACACACGCACACACACAUUCACAACCUUGACUAUAAGGUCAUUAUUUUGAUAAGAGAAAAGCCAAACUUAGAAGCAGCAAAUAACUGUCUCAAAACCCAUGCAUGGUCUCACACAGUAGGGAGUGGUCCUCUUUCAAAGAAGUGAAUAAGAGAUACACUAUUAAACUAUAGACCUAUGACUUUUAUUUUUUUGUUUAAUAGUCUGGUUUUGUUUGUUAUUUUCUACAGCAAAAUCUCAGAAGUGUUUUACCAUGUUACUACAAAAUAGCAUAAGUUAUAUUCAGAGUAUUAGAAUGUACUUAUUUAUUUUAAGAGGCUAUUUCCUAGACAAAACAACAACAGGAAUAGUGAUUUCCAAACCUUUAUAAUAUAUAAAGAUAGAACCACAGACAUGUGCGAUUGCCUCUCAUUGUUUAUUUGAGGAAGAUAAGGUAGUCUGCAGAUAAUUAUAGGUGUGUUAGGAUCAAUUAGUGUGAGGUAAGGAUUGAUAAUCACGGUAAUUUUUAGUCAGUUAUGUACUUGAAGACUUACAGAAUUAAAAAAAAAAAACAUAAAAUUUGACACUUUACCCUGCUUUCACAGAACUAUUUCACAUAAGGCAGUCAGAGGCUAAAAAAAAAAAAAAAAAAAAAAAAAAA
rnacentral:lncRNA from 1 species